AUCUGCAGUCACUCUCUGGGAGAAGGAAGGAGUGUUUGAGGGGCUGCUGAGAAUAUCCAUUAGCAGAUUGGAAGCUCCUUGUAGUUAUUCGGUAUUUGGAAUUAUUCAAUCACUUUUUCAUUCUAUGUGAAGAAUUCAUGGGCCUUAUACAGGGAUGGGAGCAUUCACUGGGAAGAUGAGGGGCUUGUAUUCAACUUUUCCUGGUAAUGUCCUCUACCUCAUUCAGGCUGGCUACCCAACCUCUCCAAAUAUUGACCUGCUUGCAGAUGUGCUGUGUAGCUCUUCUGCUCACUUGCUGAGGCAGCCUCCAAUCACAAAGGACAAGGCAGCUGAGUGUUACACGCAUGGAGUUACAUAGCAACCAGUGAUCCAUCCCACUUCUGUGAUCAGCACACGCAGAAGGACUCAAAGCUUGCCUACAAGUUAUAGGCAUGAACAUGGCCAGCUGGCUCCCAAAAGCCCUGGAGGCAAGAGGGUAAUGGCUCAAAGGAUACCUUAUCCCCAUGCAGCAACAGCAGAUGAUGGUACUCCUCUAUGCAGUCCUUCUCUGCAGGGAAAGGGUGUUGAAGGGGAGGGUCCUGCAGAAGAGAGACAUUGAUGAACUCAGAUGUACACAAGAAAAAAUAGUUCUGGGGUUUCUGCCUUCCUAUCUCCACAACACCUUAGCAUUGUUUUAUGGCUGUAACCCUAUCUGUCUUCAUUUACCCCUUCCUAUUACCCCACAUGCACUGCAUCAAGCGCAGAGGUAGACUAUUCAACCCCCAAUUUACUGUGGCAGAAAAAGGAGAGACAGCAAUGUCAUCAUUUUUAACUUAUUGGAGGUGGUCAAAUACUUUGAGGGCCAUAUAAGUACCUGGAUAAUAGGUCCCUGGACCAGGGAUUAUGCCUUUCUAUUUAUGCUGUAAA